AUGAUCUGAGCCUCUCUCUCUCUCUCUCUCUCUCUCUCUCUCUCUCUGUGUGUGUGUGUGUGUGUGUGAGAGAGAGAGAGAGAGAGAGAGAGAGAGAGAGAGAGAGAUUUGGUCU